GACGUAGGAGGCGAGCGUUGUCCGGAUUCAUUGGGCGUAAAGAGCACGCUAGGCGGUUUGGCAAGUCGGAUGUGAAAACCCGAAGCUCAACUUCGGGCCUGCAUCCGAAACUGCCCGACUAGGAGGUAGGUAGGGGAGAUCGGAAUUCCUGGUGUAGCGGUGAAAUGCGCAGAUAUCAGGAGGAACACCGGUGGCGAAGGCGGACUCU
rnacentral:rRNA from 1 species